AUUAAACGCUGGCGGCAUGCCUUACACAUGCAAGUCGAACGGCAGCACGGGGGCAACCCUGGUGGCGAGUGGCGAACGGGUGAGUAAAGCAUCGGAACGUGCCCUGGAGUGGGGGGAUAACGUAGCGAAAGUUACGCUAAUACCGCAUAUUCUGUGAGCAGGAAAGCAGGGGAUCGCAAGACCUUGCGCUCUGGGAGCGGCCGAUGUCGGAUUAGCUAGUUGGUGGGGUAAAGGCCUACCAAGGCGACGAUCCGUAGCGGGUCUGAGAGGAUGAUCCGCCACACUGGGACUGAGACACGGCCCAGACUCCUACGGGAGGCAGCAGUGGGGAAUUUUGGACAAUGGGCGAAAGCCUGAUCCAGCCAUGCCGCGUGAGUGAAGAAGGCCUUCGG
rnacentral:rRNA from 1 species